AUUGAACGCUGGCGGCAGGCCUAACACAUGCAAGUCGAGCGGAGCGGCGGACGGGUGAGUAAUGCCUAGGAAUCUGCCUGGUAGUGGGGGAUAACGUCCGGAAACGGGCGCUAAUACCGCAUACUAUCAGAUGAGCCUAGGUCGGGUUAGCUAGCUGGUGGGGAAACGGCCUACCAAGGCGACGAUCCGUACCUGGGCUGAGAGGAUGAUCAGUCACACUGGAACUUAGACACGGUCCAGAAUCCUACGGGAGGUAGCCGUGGGGAAUAUUGCACAAUGGGCUAAAGCCUGAUCUAGCCAUGCCGCGUGUGUGAAGAAGGUCUUCGGAUUGUAAAGCACUUUAAGUUGGGAGGCGUUACCAACAGAAUAAGCACCGGCUAACUUCGUGCCAGCAGCCGCGGUAAUUC
rnacentral:rRNA from 1 species